rnacentral:rRNA from 1 species
AGAGCGAACGCUGGCGGCAGGCUUAACACAUGCAAGUCGAGCGCCCCGCAAGGGGAGCGGCAGACGGGAGAGUAACACGUGGGAACGCGCCCUUCGGUUCGGAAUAACUCAGGGAAACUUGAGCUAAUACCGGAUACGCCCUUACGGGGAAAGAUUUAUUGCCGAAGGAACGGCCCGCGUCCGAUUAGCUAGUUGGUGAGGUAACGGCUCACCAAGGCGACGAUCGGUAGCUGGUCUGAGAGGAUGACCAGCCUCACUGGGACUGAGACACGGCCCAGACUCCUACGGGAGGCAGCAGUGGGGAAUAUUGGACAAUGGGCGCAAGCCUGAUCCAGCCAUGCCGCGUGGAUGAUGAAGGCCUUAGGGUUGUAAAGUCCUUUUAACGGGGAAGAUAAUGACGGUACCGUAGAAUAAGCCCGGCUAACUUCGUGCCAGCAGCCGC